GACGAACGCUGGCGGCGUGCUUAACACAUGCAAGUCGAACGAAGAGCGACGGAAGCUUGCUUCUAUCAAUCUUAGUGGCGAACGGGUGAGUAACGCGUAAUCAACCUGCCCUUCAGAGGGGGACAACAGUUGGAAACGACUGCUAAUACCGCAUACGAUCUAACCUCGGCAUCGAGGAUAGAUGAAAGGUGGCCUCUACAUGUAAGCUAUCACUGAAGGAGGGGAUUGCGUCUGAUUAGCUAGUUGGAGGGGUAACGGCCCACCAAGGCGAUGAUCAGUAGCCGGUCUGAGAGGAUGAACGGCCACAUUGGGACUGAGACACGGCCCAGACUCCUACGGGAGGCAGCAGUGGGGAAUCCUCCGCAAUGGACGAAAGUCUGACGGAGCAACGCCGCGUGAGUGAUGACGGCCUUCGGGUUGUAAAGCUCUGUUAAUCGGGACGAAAGGCCUUCUUGCGAAUAGUGAGAAGGAUUGACGGUACCGGAAUAGAAAGCCACGGCUAACUACGUG
rnacentral:rRNA from 1 species